rnacentral:tRNA from 1 species
GCCUGGGUGGGGUAGCUGGUCCAUCCUAUGGGACUGUGGAUCCUAUGACUCGGGUUCGAAUCCCGACCCGGGCCCCA